UACAGAGGGGGCAAGCGUUGUUCGGAAUUACUGGGCGUAAAGGGCGCGUAGGCGGCCUUCUAAGUCGAACGUGAAAUCCCUGGGCUCAACCCAGGAACUGCGUCCGAUACUGGGAGGCUUGAAUCCGGGAGAGGGAUGCGGAAUUCCAGGUGUAGCGGUGAAAUGCGUAGAUAUCUGGAGGAACACCGGUGGCGAAGGCGGCAUCCUGGACGGUGACUGACGCUGAGACGCGAAAGCGUGGGGAGCAAACAGG
rnacentral:rRNA from 1 species